CGUAUCACCCAAGACAACUUUACGGAGUUGACGAUUGACGGAGCGAAGCGACGUCAAAGCGUUCAUUAAAGUCGAGUUGGCUUAGGGAUACGUUCGUUGGGUAGGGGAGCGUUCUGUAAGCCUGUGAAGGUGUGUCGUGAGGCAUGCUGGAGGUAUCAGAAGUGCGAAUGCUGACAUAAGUAACGAUAAAGCGGGUGAAAAGCCCGCUCGCCGGAAGACCAAGGGUUCCUGUCCAACGUUAAUCGGGGCAGGGUGAGUCGACCCCUAAGGCGAGGCCGAAAGGCGUAGUCGAUGGGAAACGGGUUAAUAUUCCCGUACUUGGUGUUACUGCGAAGGGGGGACGGAGAAGGCUAUGUUGGCCGGGCGACGGUUGUCCCGGUUUAAGCGUGUAGGUGUGUGUUCCAGGUAAAUCCGGUUCACUUUAACACUGAGGCGUGACGACGAGGCACUACGGUGCUGAAGCAACAAAUGCCCUGCUUCCAGGAAAAGCCUCUAAGCAUCAGGUAACACGAAAUCGUACCCCAAACCGACACAGGUGGUCAGGUAGAGAAUACCAAGGCGCUUGAGAGAACUCGGGUGAAGGAACUAGGCAAAAUGGUGCCGUAACUUCGGGAGAAGGCACGCUGACACGUAGGUGAAGUGAUUUACUCAUGGAGCUGAAGUCAGUCGAAGAUACCAGCUGGCUGCAACUGUUUAUUAAAAACACAGCACUGUGCAAACACGAAAGUGGACGUAUACGGUGUGACGCCUGCCCGGUGCCGGAAGGUUAAUUGAUGGGGUCAGCGUAAGCGAAGCUCCUGAUCGAAGCCCCGGUAAACGGCGGCCGUAACUAUAACGGUCCUAAGGUAGCGAAAUUCCUUGUCGGGUAAGUUCCGACCUGCACGAAUGGCGUAAUGAUGGCCAGGCUGUCUCCACCCGAGACUCAGUGAAAUUGAACUCGCUGUGAAGAUGCAGUGUACCCGCGGCAAGACGGAAAGACCCCGUGAACCUUUACUAUAGCUUGACACUGAACAUUGAGCCUUGAUGUGUAGGAUAGG
rnacentral:rRNA from 1 species